rnacentral:rRNA from 1 species
CAGCCGCCACGGGAAUACAGAGGGUGCGAGCGUUAAUCGGAUUUACUGGGCGUAAAGCGUGCGUAGGCGGCUUUUUAAGUCGGAUGUGAAAUCCCUGAGCUUAACUUAGGAAUUGCAUUCGAUACUGGGAAGCUAGAGUAUGGGAGAGGAUGGUAGAAUUCCAGGUGUAGCGGUGAAAUGCGUAGAGAUCUGGAGGAAUACCGAUGGCGAAGGCAGCCAUCUGGCCUAAUACUGACGCUGAGGUACGAAAGCAUGGGGAGCAAACAGGAUUAGAUACCCGAGUAGUCCCUGUCUCUUAUAA